UAGGGAAUCUUCCGCAAUGGGCGAAAGCCUGACGGAGCAACGCCGCGUGAGUGAUGAAGGUCUUCGGAUCGUAAAACUCUGUUAUUAGGGAAGAACAAAUGUGUAAGUAACUAUGCACAUCUUGACGGUACCUAAUCAGAAAGCCACGGCUAACUACGUGCCAGCAGCCGCGGUAAUACGUAGGUGGCAAGCGUUAUCCGGAAUUAUUGGGCGUAAAGCGCGCGUAGGCGGUUUUUUAAGUCUGAUGUGAAAGCCCACGGCUCAACCGUGGAGGGUCAUUGGAAACUGGAAAACUUGAGUGCAGAAGAGGAAAGUGGAAUUCCAUGUGUAGCGGUGAAAUGCGUAGAUAUAUGGAGGAACACCAGUGGCGAAGGCGACUCUCUGGUCUGUAACUGACGCUGAGGCUCGAAAGCGUGGGGAGCGAACAGG
rnacentral:rRNA from 1 species